AAAUUAUUUCUGUUGGAGGGAAACUGCUACUGCUGCUGGGACCGGGGUACUGUUUGGUCUGCUUGUCUCUGCUGUUAACGUGACAUGCAGUAUUACCUGUAUUAUUACCUGGAGUAUUAUCUGCAUUAUUACCUGAGUAUUUUACAUACGCCUGUGAAUUUGACUUGUGGGAUGUCAACGGAGAACAGAAGACUGGAACAUGAACACAGAGGAAGGAUCCAACGGGAUCUGGUCACUUCAGUAAAGUUAAGUGAAUUUAUAUCUUGCAAAAAUAUUGAAGAUCAGGUAAGAAAACAUUUUCCCUGUUAUUUUCUAACGUAAUGUUAUGUUUUGUGUUCAUGUCCUUAAUGUAUGUAACUAACCCAGUCUAAAACUAUUUCAUUUUAGACAAAUAUAUAAAAAAAUGGAGAUAAUUAAUUUCAAAUGUUUAAAAAGUAACGUUAUUACAUUUAAAUCUGUUAAUUCGAGUGUUUUAAUACAGUUCAUAGUGGUGCUAUAGGCGGAUAAAAUGACUGUGACAAAGAGUUAGGUUAGCUAGUUAAGUAAACUAGCUACAGGUAACGUUAGCUUGUUAGCAUGAUUCUGUCUCCAGGACAGAAAAACAUACUUGAAUGUGGUUUAGAGGGGAGGGGAGGGGGAGAGAUGCGUGCUCCGUAACAUGCCCACACGACACGUCACUGGGGGUGAGGGGAGAGAUGCGUGCUCCGUAACAUGCCCACACGACACGUCACUGGGGGUGAGGGGAGAGAUGCGUGCUCCGUAACAUAUCCCCACGACACGUCACUGGGGGGGUGAGGGGAGAGAUGCGUGCUCCGUAACAUAUCCCCACGACACGUCACUGGGGGGGGGGUGAGGGCUGAGAGCCGUGCUCCGUAACAUAUCCCCACGACACGUCACUGGGGGGGUGAGGGGAGAGAUGCGUGCUCCGUAACAUGUCCCCACGACACGUCACUGGGGGGGUGAGGGGAGAGAUGCGUGCUCCGUAACAUGCCCACACGACACGUCACUGGGGGUGAGGGGAGAGAUGCGUGCUCCGUAACAUAUCCCCACGACACGUCACUGGGGGGGUGAGGGGAGAGAUGCGUGCUCCGUAACAUAUCCCCACGACACGUCACUGGGGGGGGGUGAGGGGAGAGAUGCGUGCUCCGUAACAUGUCCCCACGACACGUCACUGGGGGGGUGAGGGGAGAGAUGCGUGCUCCGUAACAUGCCCACACGACACGUCACUGGGGGGGUGAGGGGAGAGAUGCGUGCUCACAUGCCCACACAACACGUCACUGGGGGGGUGAGGGGAGAGAUGCGUGCUCACAUGCCCACACAACACGUCACUGGGGGGGUGAGGGGAGAGAUGCGUGCUCCGUAACAUGUCCCCAUGACACGUCACUGGGGGGGUGAGGGGAGAGAUGCGUGCUCCGUAACAUAUCCCCAUGACACGUCACUGGGGGGGGCACGCUCCGUGCUCCGCAACAUGUCCCCUGGGGUUUUUGAGAGUUAAGUAUAAUAUAUUAAAUGUAUAGUGUGCCGUUACUGAUUUCUUAACAGUAUAUAAGUUAUUAAUUAAUGAGAAGCAUUUCUUAUAUUCCAAGGGAACAGCUUUGAGAUAUAACUUACAGUAUUCUUCACUGUUUCACUGUACUUCACACAGCAAAGGACCAUAAGCAGUGCAUCACCUGUGAGAUCAUGAGAAGGCUGAAGAACCAGGAGUGACCCUAAGCAGUGCAUCACCUGUGAGAUCAUGAGAUGGCUGAAGAACCAGGAGUGACCCUAAGCAGUGCAUCACCUGUGAGAUCAUGAGAUGGCUGAAGAACCAGGAGUGACCCUAAGCAGUGCAUCACCUGUGAGAUCAUGAGAAGGCUGAAGAACCAGGAGUGACAAGAUACCACCGGAUGGUGGGACACAGAAUUAAACCCAGGGACAGUGAUCUGAAAAUGCCUGUUCUCCGACGUUCCCCAUCCAACCUGACAGCUUGAGAGGAUCUGCAGAGAAUGGCAGAAAAUCCCCAAAUCCAGAUCAAGCAUUGGAACAACGUUUACGGAGAACAGGCACCCAACAACACCCAAAGUCCAUCACUAAUGCACCAAGGAUCAGGCUGAUUACUGACGAUUUGGAAGAUUGUUCUUUAUCUGCACUGUCACUUAUGGUAAAGAUUCAUAGACCUUUUGCGGUAUGUUUUGAUUUUACUUAUUAAUACACUGCAUAGUUGGGAUUCUGAAAAGACCUCAUCAUGAUAGUAACUAACAGUCAAGAGAGACACAUGGAGAAAUGCCAUUUUUAGUUCUUCAAUUCCUCUUGGGGGGCUCUGAAGAACUGUUUGUGAAUAAUUGGUUGAUUUUGUAAAUAAAUAUCUAAAUACAUUAAAUACAAUUGUUUUAAAAUCAA